AGAGUUGUAUCCUGGCUCAGGAUGAACGCUGGCUGUAUGCCUAACACAUGCAAGUCGUACGAGAGUUUUUAACUCUAGUGGCGGACGGGUGAGUAACACGUGAGAAUUUGCCUUUAGGAGGGGGAUAACAAUUGGAAACGAAUGCUAAUACCCCAUAUGCUUUCGAGUGAAAUGGAUUUAUAUUAUCCGCCUAGAGAGAAGCUCGCGGCUGAUUAGCUUGUUGGUAAGGUAAGAGCUUACCAAGGCGACGAUCAGUAUCUGGUUUGAGAGGACGAUCAGACACACUGGAACUGAGACACGGUCCAGACUCCUACGGGAGGCAGCAGUGGGGAAUUUUCCGCAAUGGGCGAAAGCCUGACGGAGCAAUACAGCGUGAGGGAAGACUGCCUAUGGGUUGUAAACCUCUUUUUUCAGGGAGGAAUAAAAUGACGUGUACCUGAAGAAUAAGCAUCGGCUAACUCCGUGCCAGCAGCCGCGGUAAGACGGAGGAUGCAAGUGUUAUCCGGAAUCACUGGGCGUAAAGCGUCUGUAGGUGGUUUAAUAAGUCAACUGUUAAAUCUUGAGGCUCAACUUCAAAAUCGCAGUCGAAACUAUUAGACUAGAGUAUAGUAGAGGUAAAGGGAAUUUCCAGUGGAGCGGUGAAAUGCGUAGAUAUUGGAAAGAACACCGAUGGCGAAAGCACUUUACUGGGCUAUUACUA
rnacentral:rRNA from 1 species